AAAAUCAGAGUGAGAAAAAACGAAAGUGUAUCAGAAAUAAAUAAAUAGCGAAAUUAAAAAGAGAUAAUGGUUGAAAGAAUAACACUAGAGACUUAUAGAGGUUUGGUCCAACCACAUGACCUACUUCUCUCAUCAAGAAUUUAUUUUUGUGAGUUUCCACUAAAGAUGUGAGAUUUUCAAAGGUUAUGCCCACAAACCUUCUUACAACUAAACAAGGAGUUUUACAACGACUAUCCUCCAAACCAAACAAAAG
rnacentral:lncRNA from 1 species